rnacentral:rRNA from 1 species
CCUACGGGAGACUGCAGUCGAGAAUCAUUCACAAUGGGGGAAACCCUGAUGGUGCGACGCCGCGUGGGGGAAUGAAGGUCUUCGGAUUGUAAACCCCUGUCAUGUGGGAGCAAAUUAAAAAGAUAGUACCACAAGAGGAAGAGACGGCUAACUCUGUGCCAGCAGCCGCGGUAAUACAGAGGUCUCAAGCGUUGUUCGGAAUCACUGGGCGUAAAGCGUGCGUAGGCUGUUUCGUAAGUCGUGUGUGAAAGGCGCGGGCCCAACCCGCGGACGGCACAUGAUACUGCGGGACUAGAGUAAUGGAGGGGGAACCGGAAUGCUCGGUGUAGCAGUGAAAUGCGUAGAUAUCGAGAGGAACACUCGUGGCGAAGGCGGGUUCCUGGACAUUAACUGACGCUGAGGCACGAAGGCCAGGGUAGCGAAAGGGAUUUGAUACCCCGGUAGUC